rnacentral:rRNA from 1 species
GACGAACGCUGGCGGCGUGCUUAACACAUGCAAGUCGAACGAAGAGCGAUGGAAGCUUGCUUCUAUCAAUCUUAGUGGCGAACGGGUGAGUAACGCGUAAUCAACCUGCCCUUCAGAGGGGGACAACAGUUGGAAACGACUGCUAAUACCGCAUACGAUCUAACCUCGGCAUCGAGGAAAGAUGAAAGGUGGCCUCUAUGUAUAAGCUAUCACUGAAGGAGGGGAUUGCGUCUGAUUAGCUAGUUGGAGGGGUAACGGCCCACCAAGGCGAUGAUCAGUAGCCGGUCUGAGAGGAUGAACGGCCACAUUGGGACUGAGACACGGCCCAGACUCCUACGGGAGGCAGCAGUGGGGAAUCUUCCGCAAUGGACGAAAGUCUGACGGAGCAACGCCGCGUGAGUGAUGACGGCCUUCGGGGUUGUAAAGCUCUGUUGAUCGGGACGAAAAGGCCUUUCUG